rnacentral:lncRNA from 1 species
CUUACACGAACUGAUGCUGAGUGAAAUGAGCAGGACCAGGAGAUCAUUAUAUACUUCAACAACAAUACUAUAUGAUGACCAGUUCUGAUGGACCAGGCCAUCCUCAGCAACGAGAUCAACCAAAUCAUUUCCAAUGGAGCAGUAAUGAACUGAACCAGCUAUGCCCAGAAAAAGAACUCUGGGAGAUGACUAAAAACCAUUACAUUGAAUUCCCAAUCCCUAUAUUUAUGCACACCUGCAUUUUUGAUUUCCUUCACAAGCUAAUUGUACAAUAUUUCAGAGUCUGAUUCUUUUUGUACAGCAAAAUAACGUUUUGGUCAUGUAUGCUUAUUGUGUAUCUAAUUUAUAUUUUAAUAUAUUUAACAUCUACUGGUCAUCCUGCCAUCUAGGGGAGGGGGUGGGGGGGUAAGAGGUGAAAAAUUGGAACAAGAGGUUUGGCAAUUGUUAAUGCUGUAAAGUUACCCAUGCAUAUAUCCUGUAAAUAAAAGGCUAUUAAAUUAAAAAAAAAAAAAAAAAAAAAGAAUUCCCUUUACAGAGGGACUUUUAUUUGAAUAAGUUUUAAAGCCACCAAAGAACAAAUCAGAAAUUUUGAGUAGUCAUAUAUAACCUAGAAUAUAACAUAGCUAUGUGCAAGAUACUAUGCUAAAUGUUGAAUUUGCAAAGAAAAACAAAAGCAAAAAAAAAAAAAAGUUUUUUACUUUGGAAAAUAAUUAAAAUUGAGCAAAUACUGUUUGUAUAAAACUGCUUAUAAGCUGAAGAAAGAAAUAUUUGAAAAAUGAUCAGUACAAGAAAUUUCUUACUGACAAAAGGCAUACCUGGGUGAAGUUUAAAGUAAUGAUAUAAGAAAGUGGUUUGACUUUGUGCCUGUCUAAAAGGCUGACAUUUGGCUGAUGGCCAUAUAUAUCGCAGAGAAUCUGUUCAUCAUAUUUACUUCAGCAAAAAUGAUUCUAUAAAUUACAUCAGACUUUCUAAUAUAAGAUUUAUCCAGUAGCCAUGGUAUCCUUUGGAGGACUGCCAUUUCAUAAGCUUAACAUAGCCUCCAAGCUGUGUGUGAAACUAUAAAAUAUGAAUAAGUUUAAUUAAAUUCAAUUAGUUUUGUUGUUAUGCAGCAUUUGAAAUACCUUGAACUGGAGAUGUCAUCUUGAUAGCUGUCAUAGUCUGCUACAGCUGAAUUUGAGUUAUAGGUCAUAUAGUUCACUACACCAUGUAACUUGGAAUCACAUAGAUGGAAAUAUUAAAUAUUUGAGAAGUUAUGGGCAGAGAUAUAGAAUUUGAUUACUUCAGUUUGAUUACCUCAUUUUAUUUUUUAAAAUUAUAUUUAAUGUCUAUGCAUAUAUUAGAUUUAACAUAUGUUUCUACUAUAUUUAAACAUAUAUUGGACUACUUGCCAUCUAGGGGAGGGCAUGGGGG